rnacentral:lncRNA from 1 species
AACUCAUCCUGGCAGAUGACACUGGUAGAAGAACUAAAAGACUCUGUACAUGGUUCCAAAGAAUAUCAACUCACCUGAGAAAAACACCUGCGGGGGAAGAGAGAGAGAAAAGGCUGUCAGAAGACUCCUCAAGGGUCUGGGAAGGAGACAGUGAGGUGCUGAAGGAUUCAGGAAGAGCAAGAGACAAGCUAUAACAGUCCGGUCAAAUUCAGGAAUUUUUCCAUCAUUUUUGGGCAGGUUAGUUGGUUUGCUUGUUUGUUUUCUGAG